rnacentral:rRNA from 1 species
ACAUGCAAGUCGAGCGGAAACGAGUUAUCUGAACCUUCGGGGAACGAUAACGGCGUCGAGCGGCGGACGGGUGAGUAAUGCCUAGGAAAUUGCCCUGAUGUGGGGGAUAACCAUUGGAAACGAUGGCUAAUACCGCAUGAUGCCUACGGGCCAAAGAGGGGGACCUUCGGGCCUCUCGCGUCAGGAUAUGCCUAGGUGGGAUUAGCUAGUUGGUGAGGUAAGGGCUCACCAAGGCGACGAUCCCUAGCUGGUCUGAGAGGAUGAUCAGCCACACUGGAACUGAGACACGGUCCAGAMRCCUACGGGAGGCAGCAGUGGGGAAUAUUGCACAAUGGGCGCAAGCCUGAUGCAGCCAUGCCGCGUGUGUGAAGAAGGCCUUCGGGUUGUAAAGUACUUUCAGUCGUGAGGAAGGYRKYGKMGUUAAUAGCUGCAUUAUUUGACGUUAGCGACAGAAGAAGCACCGGCUAACUCCGUGCCAGCAGCCGCGGUAAUACGGAGGGUGCGAGCGUUAAUCGGAAUUACUGGGCGUAAAGCGCAUGCAGGUGGUUUGUUAAGUCAGAUGUGAAAGCCCGGGGCUCAACCUCGGAAUAGCAUUUGAAACUGGCAGACUAGAGUACUGUAGAGGGGGGUAGAAUUUCAGGUGUAGCGGUGAAAUGCGUAGAGAUCUGAAGGAAUACCGGUGGCGAAAG